AUGGAGCCUAAUCGUGCACCUGGCCCUGAUAGUGUACCUGCUGAUUUCUACCAGCACUGCUGGGAUGUUGUUUGCAUGGAUCUCCUUAGGCUUUUUGAGUGGUUUCACGAGGGCAGGCUAGAUGUGCAACGCUUGAAUUAUGGCAUUAUCACCCUUUUGCCUAAAACCUCGGAGGCCAAUAGAAUUCAGCAGUACAGACCUAUUUGCUUGUUGCGAUGCCCUUAUAAGCUGAUCACCAAGGUCAUGGACAGGAGAGCGAGUGUAUAUGCCCCCAAACUGUUUAGUAUACAGCAGAAUGCCUUCAUAAAAAGGAGGGACAUUAUGGACGGGAUCCUGUCGCUUCAUGAAGUCAUUCAUUAUACCCAUGUGAAAAAAAGGACGGGGAUUGUCCUUAAACUUGACUUCGGGAAAGCCUACGACAAGGUCAAUUGGGAUUUCCUUCUUGAUUGUCAUAGUAAGAGAGGCUUUAAUUCUAAGUGGUGUGGGUGGGUGUCCCAGAUUCUUCGUGAUGGCACGGUUAGUGUCAAGAUCAAUGACGAGCUCGGGCCCUAUAUUCAAAGUGCCAAAGGGGUGCGUCAGGGUGACCCUCAUUCCCCUUUUUUGUUCAAUAUGGCUGCUGAG
rnacentral:rRNA from 1 species